UCAAAGUGAAGUCUCAAGGUAGAAGAAAAGAGAACAUAUUCCAAUGUAUGGAGAGGAAGCAUUAUCAUGAAUCUCAACAGUUUCAAUUUGGAAAAACAAAAGGGAGUAAUUUAAAAGAAUAAAGCAUAAUAGAGCAUGUAAAAACUUACUAUCAAAAUCUUUUUCAAGUAUAUUACUCAACUAAUUCGAAAAGAUCAAAAUUUGAGAAUGUUUGGACAUCAUGAGAUAAGACUCAUCCACAUGCAGGAUGAUUCAAAUAGACAAAAAUAAUAGAGACACUCUAAAUAAAACCUGUUAUUUUUAUUCGUUCAACCUUACCUAUUUAUUAAAAUCAUAAUUUUACCUGCAUGCCAUCUGUAUUGGGCUUUAAAUACUCAAUGCGCAAACCAUGAAUCAAGCCAAAAAUUCUACGUCUCAAAGUGGCUCCAGAAUCAUAGAUCUAUCUAUAGCAAUAUAAGAGUAACAAAUUCUUUCUAGAGGUAAAUAACAAAGACCAAAAAGAAUUAAGUUUUUGCACUACCCUCAUCUCAUUCUUAGAGCUAACAAGUAUUCACAAGGGGGAAAAUAGGGCUAACAAAAAGGUUGAAGGAGGAAACAAGCAGAGCAUAGGUCCAAGUGUUUAAUAAUCAAUUUUGAUAUCUAUGACUUUAUCACUCUAGUUAUAUGGUUAGGUAAGUUUGUUUCACUAUUUCAAACUACUUGUUUAAGUCAUUAUUUUACGGAUGGAAAAACAACCUUUUCCUCAUGUUAGUUACUUUCUUUAAAAUUAUGCAUAGAGCAAAUGAGCACUUUUUAUGGAGAACAUCUCAACAACACCAUGAAAAUACUUUCAAGAAGAGCUUUAUAGUGCAAAUUCAACAACUUUAUAAGCUAGCUGUUUAGCUUGGCAUUCUAUAAAGAUAUAGCUAAGGUAAAAUGUAAAGUGUCAUCAGUUCACACCAUAGAAACGUAGGACAUGAAGUCAAACCCAGUCUUAAUCCAUAGCAUUAUUUAGCAUCAUAGAAUUCCAACUACGAACGCCAACUACAUCAUAUAGUAAUAAAGAUAAUAAAUAAAUAAUCCUAUAAUCAUAGAGGAUAUUCACUAUAAAAGAGCGGAUAACAAACCAAACCUAUAAUACAAAUUUACUGCGUUAUUAUGCAUCUGAAGGUUGGCAAUGAUGGUAAUAGUUAUUGCUAAUCGAUGAAAACAAUAUAUGUUAAUUAAACCACAAUAGCAUUGACAACAGAAGCAAAUAUAGUAGCUAUCUUCUUAGAGAAGCAUUAUAUCAGAUUUCAAAUGCGACAACUAUUUUUACAAGACUUUGAAGUUUGAUUUUGAUACUCAAUAUCUUUAGUAGGACUGCUCGUAAUAAAGCUCAGAGAACGCAGAGCACCUAAAUAAGAAAAUGAAGAUGAAUGGACCAUGAAAUUUUUUGAAGAAAAAGAAAAACACAUAGAAAACCAGGUAGUAAUUUUACAGGUGGCAACUUAGAAGAUAAAAAUAGUAUAAAAUUUGAUAUGUAACCAGCUGAACUAAAAUAAUAUCAUAGCAACAAAAACUGAUCGUAGCAGCAUCUGAUAAACAAUAACAAAAGUAGCUUCACCUGCAUCCAGAAUUGCAGUAAAGUUGUCUGUAAUAACAUCCAAGAAGAAGCAGCAAAAGUGGCUUCAACUGCAUCCAGAAACAGCAGAGAAAUAGCUCCAAAGCAUCCCAAACAGUAGUAAAAUACCUCUCACUGGUGAUUAAACCAAAAAAUUAACAGUCAGUCGAACUUUUUAGAUUAUUUCACUAUUACAAGCUUGCUCUUUGAUUGUCCAAAAGUCAAAGACUGGCCUUGUUUGUUGCAAAAUCUUUUCAGGCAUAUUUAGUAGAUAUAAGCAUGUGAUACUCGUACACCUUAGAGUAGUUAUUUUGCUCUGAGUUCUGCUUAGUAAUUUUAAUUUGCACACAGAGAAAAACAUAGGUUGAAAGUAGCCAUCACAGAAGCACGUUUAUAAUCAUACUUUAUACAAUGUAAAAGAUAGAAUAUAAAGCUAUUAUAUUCGGUUUAUACCUCCCAUUUAAAUCGGCCUUGUGAAUUUCAUGCUCUAUAGUGUAAUUGAAACAAAGAAAUAUCUUAAGAACUUAAUAUUGGCAAGAUCUAUCUAUCCAUUGUAUACAAACAUCUAAAUGGCACAUGUACUUAUCUAUUGCUCAAGAAAGUAAUAGCAAAAAUUAUUAGGUGAAGAACGAUAAGAUAGUAUGGUCAUCAGUCAUCUUCUUAAUUAGGCUUAACACCCAUGUCAGUGUAGCGAGAAGUCUUUAGUCUCAAUAAAUAAAUUGCAUGUGGGCGGUAACUUAUCGAAAGAGCAAAAAAGGGGAGAGAAAGAACAAUAAAAUUAACGAUGAAGAUGACCGUUAUUAAUCAAAAUUCAACAAGAUUAGAGGCUUAUAAAUGGAGUUUCACCAUCAAAUUUAACACACCAGCAAUUGUAUUAAAAAUUUAAGAAAUACGAAGAGAGCUCAAAAGAAGCAUCUGAAAGGAAAAAGAUGAAGAAAAGAGAAGAAGAUAUAGGCAAUAAUUAAAAGAGAAACAAACCUGUAUCUAGAACUCCCAGCAACCUUGAGAUAAAGAACAUGGACUUUUUAGAAAGCCUGUGAUAAUUGGACUGAGAGAAAGAAAAC
rnacentral:lncRNA from 1 species